UACGUAGGGGGCGAGCGUUGUCCGGAUUCAUUGGGCGUAAAGAGCUCGUAGGCGGCUUGGCAAGUCGGGUGUGAAACCUCCAGGCUCAACCUGGAGUCGCCACCCGAUACUGCCAUGGCUAGAGUCCGGUAGGGGCCCACGGAAUUCCUGGUGUAGCGGUGAAAUGCGCAGAUAUCAGGAGGAACACCGGUGGCGAAGGCGGUGGGCUGGGCCGGCACUGACGCUGAGGAGCGAAAGCGUGGGGAGCGAACAGG
rnacentral:rRNA from 1 species